GUAGGGUGCGAGCGUUAAUCGGAAUUACUGGGCGUAAAGCGUGCGCAGGCGGCUUUGCAAGACAGAUGUGAAAUCCCCGGGCUCAACCUGGGAACUGCAUUUGUGACUGCAAGGCUAGAGUACGGCAGAGGGGGAUGGAAUUCCGCGUGUAGCAGUGAAAUGCGUAGAUAUGCGGAGGAACACCAAUGGCGAAGGCAAUCCCCUGGGCCUGUACUGACGCUCAUGCACGAAAGCGUGGGGAGCAAACAGGAUUAGAUACCCUGGUAGUCCACGCCCUAAACGAUGUCAACUGGUUGUUGGACGGCUUGCUGUUCAGUAACGAAGCUAACGCGUGAAGUUGACCGCCUGGGGAGUACGGCCGCAAGGUUGAA
rnacentral:rRNA from 1 species